GACGGAGGGUGCAAGCGUUGUUCGGAAUCACUGGGCGUAAAGCGCGUGUAGGCGGUCCGAUAAGUCGAGUGUGAAAGCCCGAGGCUCAACCUCGGAAGUGCACUCGAAACUGCCGGGCUUGAGUACGGGAGAGGGAAGUGGAAUUCCUGGUGUAGAGGUGAAAUUCGUAGAUAUCAGGAGGAACACCGGUGGCGAAGGCGGCUUCCUGGACCGAUACUGACGCUGAGACGCGAAAGCGUGGGGAGCAAACAGGAUUAGAUACCCUGGUAGUCCACGCCGUAAACGGUGAGCACUAGGUGUAGCGGGUAUUGACCCCUGCUGUGCCGCAGCUAACGCAUUAAGUGCUCCGCCUGGGGAGUACGGCCGCAAGGUUA
rnacentral:rRNA from 1 species